UACGUAGGGUGCAAGCGUUAAUCGGAAUUACUGGGCGUAAAGCGCGCGUAGGUGGUUUGUUAAGUUUGAAUGUGAAAUCCCCGGGCUCAACCUGGGAACUGCAUGCAAAACUGGCAAGCUAGAGUAUGGUAGAGGGUGGUGGAAUUUCCUGUGUAGCGGUGAAAUGCGUAGAUAUAGGAAGGAACACCAGUGGCGAAGGCGACCACCUGGACUGAUACUGACACUGAGGUGCGAAAGCGUGGGGAGCAAACAGG
rnacentral:rRNA from 1 species